UACUUUAACCUUUGACCAGGCUAUACACAAAAAAAAUAAAAAAAUAAUUCUCUCCUCUGUCACAUUACGAGAAAUCAGUCGAUGAACUCGAUGAAAGAAGAAUCGAACGAGCAGCUUCUCUGUCUUUUGACGAAUCCUCCUCCUCCUUUCUAUAUCACGCUCGCCGUCCCACCGCCACCACCACCACCACACCAUGUUUCCUCUUGAUUCUUACUUCUUUUUGUAUAUGUUCCCUUGUUCUUCAUUGUUUAUGCUAGAUUGAUAGGAAUUGGCUGCCUUGGUUUGAAUUCUUGCUUGGUAAGUUGAUUUCUAGACAUGGUAGAGGGCUGUCGCCGCCGACGUCGUCUUCAGGGAAUCGGACGCUUCCAAUUUAGUAGUUGGAAACACAAUGAUGAGAUAGUGAAGAACAGGCGAAUCCCUGGACUCUCUCUCUCUCUCUCGCCAGUUCCAAGUCGAUUCAGACAACGUUUCUUUUACAGUUUCGGUUCCUUUUGUGAAUGCUUAUGUAUGUGUCUUGAGAAAGUUUAUGACUUUAUUAUGUAUCAACCAACUGCUUAUAGGAAAGAAGUGGAGCAUGUGUGUUUACUCAAAGCAAAACAGAGUUUGUCUGAGGAGAAUUAUUAUCAAAAUCUCGUGCAAUCUCGUUCCGUAUUGAACGCGGCGAGUGAUGGGUUUACAGAAUUAUUAUCAUCGACUAAAGUUGGGUCCUUUCAUAGAUAGUCUGAUUGACUUUUGAAGAUUGUAGCAUUCUCAAUUGGAAAGUUUCUGAAGGCUGUUGUUGACUUCAUAUUCUGAUUUCAGCAAAUUACCGGCUUUUUAAGCUCAGGGUUGCUAAAUUUAGGGUCUGUGAUGUAUGUUUUUGUUACUGCAGAUGUUUGUGUUGGCUGAAUUUGCGAUGAUACCUUGAGCUUAUCUUUUCAGGGCAGAGGUAAUUCCAAUGGUGAAGAACAAUGUGCGGCUUCAAAUGAGACUGGUUCAUAACAAUUUUGCUUCGGGUUCAUUCUGAUGGAACAACCUAAACAUACCACGAACGAAAGGAAAACAACUAUCAGUGAGUUCUAUGGUGAAUGUCCAGUGGUCAUCCACUUGUUCCAUGUCCACGAAUUCAAGGUUUAAGAUUAAAAAAAACAGCUGAAGAGAAGAAAAAAAUUGAUAGAAAAGGGAGACAGCAAGAUUUUAUUGUUUUGAAGUCUAAAAUGUAAUUUAAAAUUUGAAUGUUUGAUGUUGGUUGUUUAAAACGUCUUGCUUUAAACUAGUUUUAGAAAACUUGUCUAAAACAUAUUUACCACAUGUUUAAAAAUUAUUUAAAAACUUCAAUAAUUUAAAACAUGAGUCUGUUAUAUAUGUUAUCAUUUAUAUACUAAGAUGAAUAAGACACCUAAAACAUGUAAAACAUAUUUGAAACGUGUAUAUAUAUAUUAUCUUUUAUGUUUAUAAAGUUGAUGAUAAUUUGAUUUAUCUAACCCUCCAAAAAUCCUAAACUCUAAAACCCUAAACCCUAAGCUUUAAAACAACCUCUAAAACUCACAUAUUUUAUUAUUUUAAUCUCAAAUUUUAAGUUUUAUUCAAAUUUUAAGUUUUUCAAAAAAAAUUAUUAAAUAUUGUCACCCUAAACCCUAAAUACGUUUUUUUAUACCCUAAACAUAAACUUCGAAACUUCAGUCCAAUCUUAAACCUAAUGUCAAAAUUUAAUCAUUUUAAAAAUCUAAUCUUAAAUCCAAAUUCUAAACCUCAAACACUAAAUCUUAAAUCUAUACUUACCCUACACCCCAAACUUAAACUCUACAUACAAAAUCAUAAAUCCAAUCUUUACAAACUUAUAAUAGAAACUUAAAAUUUAAAUUCCAAGUAUAUUCUAAAACUCAAAUCACAUACUUAAUCCUAAAUCUUAACCCUAACCCCUAAACCACAUAUCUCAUGUUAAUAUAUAUCAUAAAGUAUUAAAUCUCAAUUUUAAAUAAAUUAUAAUUCAGUAAAUAAAUUAAAAUUUCAAAUACAAAAUUUAGAUUUCAAAUAUUAAGUUAUGAUAUCAAAGUAUUUAAAUCUUAGAUAAUUUUUAUAAUAGCUAUACAUAAAUAAAAAGACAAUUUGUAUUAUGUUUUUUUGAACCAUUGAUUAAUUUGAAUCAAAUGCCCAAAAUCACUUUUGUAUAUAUCCUCACCCUUCUUUUCUGUUGGUCGUUGUUGUUUAUGGCAUGGAUCACCGUCUGCACCAUUGGAUAAUAUUGAAUCAACGCUUGAGAUUAAUUGUUAUUUAUUCUUUUUUUUUCCUGAGAUCUACAAGCCAGGGAAGCAAGAGAGAGAGAAGAGACAAAGUUCGUAGAGAAAGGAGAAGAAGCGACGGCCGCUCGUCACCAUAGCACCAUCGUUCGUUACCACCACUACCAUCGCCAUCUCUCCCAUCCCCCAUCGCUCGUCACCACCACCAUCGCUUCUCAGAUCCGUCUUCACCGGAGUCGCCACCACCACAGUCACGCUCGUCAUAACCACCAUUGAUCACUUCUCUGUCUCUCAUUCUCUCUGUGUUUUUUUUGUUCUUAUAUGGUUUGAUUCGAAGUUAAAGUUCGUUUCUUUAAUUAUGUGUGUUGCAGAAGUCCAAGAGGAAUGAGUAUGCCAAACUAUCUCCUACGUUUGCAAGACUGUUUCGGUCAGGUUGAUAAAGGGGCUAAUAUUCUUGAAAUUUAUCGCACUCAUUGUGAUACUGAUCACACUUGCUCGCAUGAUGCUGCUACUUGCUCGCAUGAUGCUGCUACUUGCUCUUUUUGGUUCUUUGCUGGAGAAAUUGAAAGACUUGCGUUUAGCAUCUGAUCUCUCUUAUUUGUGUGUGUUUCUUCAAGUAAAAAUGGUUAAGGGCUUUCAGGUAACGUCAUUUUCCCUUUAUGAGUCCGUGCAAUAGGAUUGAAGACAGAGGUGGAUGGGACGAGGUUGCUGUGAUGGAUGGGGCGGAGAGGCGUCGGAUCUGAAGAAGCUGUGUAGUGGAGAUGGCAGAGGAAGCUAGCUGUGGUAGUGGUGGCGGCACUAAAAGAUAGAGCACUAGAAGAUAGGAGAUGAAUUUUAGGUUUAGAAAUUUUAGGUUUAGUUAAAAAUUUGGUUUAGUUUGGUUUAGUUUAAUAUCACAUUCAUAAAUAUGUAAACAAUUUCAAUAUAUAAAAUUUAAUUUAAUUUA